GUUAUCUGAGCCAAUCAGCGGGUCGCUGCUGCUCGGGGUUUCUAUAUAAUGGCAGCGGCGCCGCCUUUCGCCCUCUUCCUCUUCGGGUUUCCUUCGAGGCUAAGCGUAGAGAAAGAGAGCACUUCGAGUCCUCAAGAAAUGGCAGCCUUACCCACUAUGUCCCACCACGUACAUCUGCAAAUAAGACGGAUAUUUGGAAAUUCCAAAGGUGAAAAAGCAUGCCAUGAAAGUCAGAGCAUCAUAUGGAGGUGACAGUCAAAGGCUGACUAAAAAGCGACUGAAGACUGCUCAUGUUCAGGCAUCAAACUGUUCAUGAUCUCAGGCUGGCACCACAAGACUACAUGGGCGUCUGGCUCGACAUCGUUGUGCAGGUCCCUUGCCAUGUUGGAUCCACAUCCAGGAAAAACUGCAAACUGUAGGGGCAAGUGGCAAGACUGAUCUUUGACUGACUUGCCUGUAAAACAUGAAUGUCAUGGCACUGGAAUAACAGCACCUAUGAAGUGACAGAUGUGUGAAAGGUGAAUUUUUGUAUCGGCUGGCAAUUCUGUAAACUUGAAUGUAAUAAAAUGGACUGAUCAACUGUU